UAAAUACUCCCUCCAUCCGAAAAUACUUGUCAUCCAAAUGGAUAAAAAGAGAUGUAUCUAAAACUAAAAUACGUCUAGAUACAUUUCCUUUUAUCCAUUUUGAUGACAAGUAUUUCUGGACGGAGGGAGUAUUUG
rnacentral:pre_miRNA from 1 species